rnacentral:rRNA from 1 species
GACGAACGCUGGCGGCGUGCUUAACACAUGCAAGUCGAACGGAAAGGCCCUGCUUUUGUGGGGUUCUCGAGUGGCGAACGCGUGAGUAACACGUGAGUAACCUGCCCUUGACUUUCGGAUAACUUCAGGAAACUGGGGCUACUACCGUAUAGGAUCUCCUGCUGCAUGGUGGGGGUGGGAACUUUUAGGCGGUCGGGGAUGGACUGGCGGCUUAUCAGCUUGUUGGUGGGGUAGUGGCUGACCAAGGCUUUGACGGGUAGCCGGCCUGAGAGGGUGACCGGCCACAUGGGGACUAAGAGACGGCCCAGACUGCAAUGGGAGGCAGCAGUGGGGAAUAUUGCACAAUGGGCGGAAGUCUGAUGCAGCGACGCCGCGUGCGGGAUGACGGCCUGCGGGUUGUGAACCGCUUUCGCCUGUGACGAAGCGUGAGUGACGGUAAUGGGUAAAGAAGCACCGGCUAACUACGUG